rnacentral:rRNA from 1 species
GAUGAACGCUAGCUACAGGCUUAACACAUGCAAGUCGAGCGAGCGGCACAGGGGAGAGUAACCCGUGUACAUCCUGCCCUUUACUCGAUGAUAGCCUUUCGAGAGAACGAUUAAUACCCAAUGAGAAGUGUGGGGAUGCGUUCCAUUAGUUUGUUGGGGAGGUACCGGCUAACCAAGCGUUCGAUGGAUAGGGGUUCGGAGAGGAAGGUCCCCCACAUUGGAACUGAGACACGGGCCUAACUCCUACGGGAGGCAGCAGUGAGUAAUAUUUGUCACUGGGCGUUAGUCGGAACCAGCCAAGUAGCGUGAAGGAUGAAGGCUUAUUGGUCGUAAACUUCUUUUAUAUAAGAAUAUGUAUUAUAUGAAUAAGGAUCGGCUAACUCCGUGCCAGCAGCCGCGGUAAUAC